UCCAGCAUGGCACAGUGGUUUGAGCGUGUUGGACUACAACUCUAGAGACCAGAGUUUGAUUCCCAGCUUGGUC